GCAAAGAGGAACCCAGCAGAACUGGAUCAAGACCAGGAGAGUUAAAACAAAUCAACAGACAAAAAUCUGAUACAAUACCAUUCCAAGUGAGGACACACAGGAAGUAUAUAAACUAAAGUGUGAAGAGAAAAAAAGUCAUUUACAAAGCAGACAGAAACAUAAGCGAGAGGAAGCCCACACUCACCAGAAGAAUACAAGAAGGUGGGCUUGCAGACCUGGUAAUGGAAAACAAAGUCAGGAAUUUGGGUGCUCUAUUAGUAGCUACAUGGUUCAGCCUGCUGCCAGUUACACAAGCAUUAUCCUCUGACCAGGCUAGUGACAGCACCGUCACGGUUGUCAUACUGGUACUACUGCUCAUCCUCCUCUGUGUAGCUCUCAUCGUGGCCUGGAAAAAGCUGAUUCGCACAGAAGGAGGUGAAGUCUACCAUCCACAAGAGCUGUGGAGAAGAGCACAGGAUAGCAUGGAAAAUGCUACAACUAGAUGGAGUCACGGAGAACAAGAAGAGGACAGCACAGUGGAGGACAGCCAGGAUGAGGAUGAAGAAGAAGCAGCAAAGGAGGAGGAGCCAGAUAUUACAGCCUUGUAAUAGGCGUAGCAGUGGGGAAUGUACCUGCAUUUGUUAUACAGUGGAAUUCAUGGGGUAAAAUUAUGAAGUUGGUUCUAGUUUGUGUCAUGGUGUUCAAAUAAAGACACACCUUUUUAUGUUGAAUGUAUUCUACCAUCUCGUAUCAAAACAUAGUGGACUCUCAACUGCCCUGGCUUCAAGAAGUUUCAAGGUCUAAGGCCAGAAACUUGUGGGAAAUUGAAAAAUAAAACACUUAGGAAAUAUGGUAUUUGCAUAUUAAACUAAGCACAGUGGCAUGUAGGGCUUGGAUAGACAAUUAAAACAGUGUCUUUGCCUUGAAAAUCCAAAGCUGAAUUUAACAGAUAAAUCACCUGUUU